rnacentral:rRNA from 1 species
UACGUAGGCAGCAAGCGUUGUUCGGAGUUACUGGGCGUAAAGGGUGUGUAGGCGGUUGCUUAAGUUUGGUGUGAAAUCUCCCGGCUCAACUGGGAGGGUGCGCCGAAUACUGAGUGACUCGAGUGCGGGAGAGGAAAGUGGAAUUCCUGGUGUAGCGGUGAAAUGCGUAGAUAUCAGGAGGAACACCGGUGGUGUAGACGGCUUUCUGGACCGUAACUGACGCUGAAACACGAAAGCGUGGGUAGCAAACAGG